rnacentral:lncRNA from 1 species
CCAAUCUUCGCAUGGAUUUUUCUAUAGAGGCCAGAUGACUUCAUGUGGCUGUGAGUGAUCUAAGAAACACCCUCUCCAAUUAUUAAAUCAGAAGAAAUCAAGAUCAAAAUUUAUUUGGUAACGAUCUCUAACUUAUUUUGAUUCCUAUGGUAGAUCUAAUAGUUAGAUCUAGAAUUUCAGCAUCGAUGAGAUCGAUGUGAUUUUUAUUUUCAGA